UACGAAGGUGGCUAGCGUUGUUCGGAUUUAUUGGGCGUAAAGGGUCCGCAGGCGGUUUGGAAAGUCAGAUGUGAAAUCCCACAGCUUAACUGUGGACACGCAUUUGAAACUUCCAGACUAGAGUGUGAGAGGGGUGAAUGGAAUUUCCAGUGUAGGGGUGAAAUCCGUAGAUAUUGGAAAGAACACCGGCCGCGAAGGCGAUUCACUGGCUCAUUACUGACGCUCAGGGACGAAAGCCAGGGGAGCAAACGGG
rnacentral:rRNA from 1 species